ensembl:lncRNA
CAGGAACUGUGCCUGGUCAUUUGACAUAGAGGAUUAUUUAGCAAGGAACCUCAUUCAUGAAAACAGAGUGGGGAGGGAAAUUUGGGAUUAGGCCAUUUGAAGCCCUUCUGAUUUUAUAGCAUAUGAUAACUGAAUCUUAAUUUUAGAUCUUAUCCAACUGGGAAUGUAUGUGGUCGUGUGAUUAGUGCCCCACCCGAGAGCUGCCUGUAGGCCAGGCGAGGGUGAAGUUCACACUGGUCAUCCUGUGCUUCCAGUGUGGUACAAGGCUCCUAUGUUCCCAGGGAAGAUGGUACACACUCAGUGGGAUUGUCAGAGAAAUAGGGUGUGUACCGGGAAAUGUUACAGAUGACAACAGAUUAUGAGCUAAUAUUCUGAGCGUUGUGCUAAGCCUGUGAGAAAUCAGGGCUCGCUCAGCUGGACUUGACAUUCUCCUAGGGGAGAGAAGCCUACAUGUGUGAAGUAAUCAGCCAACAAGUUCGCUCUGGUUAGGUCGAAUAACUGCCAAGUGAGCUUGGGCAACCCGUUUGACAAUUUGGAGGCUUGGCUCCCCCACCGUAGAAAGAAGGGAGAGAUGCAGUAUGUGCUGCUCGGGAGUCCCGAAGAACGCAGUCGCGUCUUGGUUCCUCUGAAUUGCAGCACUAAGCAACACGUCAGUGACUCUGUGUCUUGGGAGUACAAACUAUGUUUAUUUUUUCCCCCAAAUUUCCUAAUCAUGAAAAUCAUUCCUUAGGCCACUCACAGGCCUGAGUUCUGUCAAGUCUCUGCCUCUGAUUAGAUCCAUGAUUUUGGUCAGGCCAUUGACUUCUCAUGCAUAACGGGGAGAUAAACAGUUUGAUGUCAGUAAAACGCGGGCAUAUGCCUCAAACACCCAGCAGUCCACCCAGCACAUUACAGGCUCUUCCUGAUCCACAUGUGACCUCUCAUCAGCAUGGUUAAGUCCUCCAUUUUCCUCCAGGAGCUAAUGAGAGUGUGGAUCCCCUUCCCUUCCCACCCCUGACACAUCACAGUGAUGGUCUCUUCCCCUCACAUGGCCUCA